GAGGGUAUAGCUCAACUGGUAGAGAGCAUGCUUAGCAUGCAUGAGGUCCUAGGUUCAAUCCCCAGUUCCUCUA
rfam:Camelus ferus unplaced genomic scaffold scaffold951, whole genome shotgun sequence.